rnacentral:lncRNA from 1 species
GCCCCCUAUCUCCCAGCCCCUGCAGGCUCUGAAGCUUUGUGGUUGUGUUUCAGGAGGAGGAGGAGGCCCGGCUGGCCAGCAUGCCCGCCUGGAGGUGGGACCUCCUGCGGAAGAAGCUGGAAGAAGAGAGGUGAGCCGGCGGUCAGGCAGAGGCUGGCCUGGCAGCGGGUCUUGACUGCGCCCCUGAGGUGGAGGUACCAAGUGACACUGUUUCUCCUUCUAGGAAGCAGAAGCGUUGGAGAACCAGUCCCAGCCUUGUGACACUGGGCCCAAUCAGCGUUUAGCCCACCAGGGUCCACCCAGCACCUGCGCUCCCAGCUGUCACAAUGCAAACAACGCUAUCAAGAUCUCCAGGAGAAGCUGCUGCUAUCAGAAGCCACUGUCUUUGCUCAGGCGAACGAGCUGGAGAAAUACAGAGUUAUACUUAGUAGGUGAACCCUUGCUGAAGCAGGACAGUAAACAGGUCCAGGUGGACCUCCAGGACCUGGGCUAUGAGACUUGUGGCCAAAGCAAGAAUGAGGCUGAACAGGAGGAAACCACCAGUCCCGGAAAUAUGAUUCCCUGAUUCAGGAUCAGGCCCGGGAACUGUCUUACCUACGGCAAAAAAUACGAGAAGGGAGAGGUGUUUGUUAUCUUCUCACCCAGCAUGCAAAAGAUACAGUAAAAUCUUUUGAGGAUCUCCUAAGGAGCAAUGACAUUGACUACUACCUGGGACAGAGCUUCCGG